GCGAAACCGCGAGGUUUAGCUAAUCUCUUAAAACCAUUCUCAGUUCGGACUGUAGGCUGCAACUCGCCUACACGAAGUCGGAAUCGCUAGUAAUCGCGGAUCAGCAUGCCGCGGUGAAUACGUUCCCGGGCCUUGUACACACCGCCCGUCACACCAUGAGAGUUUGUAACACCCAAAGCCGGUGGGGUAACCUUUUAGGAGCUAGCCGUCUAAGGUGGGACAGAUGAUUAGGGUGAAGUCGUAACAAGGUAGCCGUAGGAGAACCUGCGGCUGGAUCACCUCCUUU
rnacentral:rRNA from 1 species